CAGGCCAGAAGAGGCGCGUUGCCCAAGUAACGGUGUUGGAGGAGCCAGUCCUGUGAUAACACCUGAGGGGGUGCAUCGCCGAGGUGAUUGAACGGCUGGCCACGUUCAUCAUCGGCUACAGGGGCUGAAUCCCCUGGGUUGUCACCAGAAGCGUUCGCAGUCGGGCGUUUCGCAAGUGGUGGAGCACUUCUGGGUGA
rfam:Escherichia coli str. K-12 substr. MG1655, complete genome.